AAGUAGGGGGUAGUAUAGGGUAUUAGUAAAAAGAUUUAGGUGGGUAAACCAAUUUGAUAAGAAUAGUUUUAGUAAAGGGUAAAGAAGAAAUAAUGUAAGCAAUAGUUUAGUACCGUGAGGGAAGGUUGAAAUAGUUGAAAAGUGUGUUUAAGAAAAAGUAGAUUUUAUAUCGUACCUUUUGUAUCAGGGUUUAAUAAGUAUAGUGGAGGAAUCUAAAAUCUCGAUGUGAGGAGUGCGGUGAUUUUAAUAUAGUUCAGGUAGCAAACUGAUUAUACAUAAAUUUACAGCAAUGAAAUAUUAAGCGGUCCUCAAGGUAUCUAGUUUUUUAAGAAAUGAAUUUAAUUCAGGGACUAAAAGAAUUUAAAGACUUUUCAUUGAGUUUUAAAAAGUUCUAAUGCCGUGGGGGAUAAGCUCCGCGGCAUGGUUAAAACUUAAGAGUUGAGAAAAUGAGUAGGCUUGAAAUUAGCCACCUCUUUAAAGAUGUUACAAUUUAUUUUCGAGAGUUUCAAUUUUUAACAGUUUAAGGAAGUUAUUAAGAAAUAAUCUGGAACAAGAAGAGAUUAAUUAUAAUGUUAAAAUUAGUAUAGAAUAUGAAGGAAUAAUUAAGUUUUGGGAAGGAACUCGGCAAAAAUAAUGCUCGCCUGUUUAUCAAAAACAUCGCCUUUUGUAAAAAUAGAAGGUCUAGCCUGCCCACUGAAUAAUUAAAGGGCCGCGGUAUAUUGACCGUGCAAAGGUAGCAUAAUCAUUAGUCUUCUAAUUAAAGGCUGGAAUGAAUGGUUGGACGAGGUAUUAGCUGUCUCCCUAAAAUUAGCUAAAACUUAACUUUUUAGUCAAAAGGCUGAAAUGGAGUUGGAGGACGAGAAGACCCUAUAGAUCUUUAUAUUUCAACCAUUCAAUCACUUUAGAAGAAAUAAGGUUUAAUGGGUCAAAUAUUUUGUUGGGGUGACAGGAAGAUAAUAAAAACUAUUUUUAUAAAAGCAACAUUGAUGUAUGAAUAAGUGAUCCGUUAAAGCGAUUAAAAGACUAAGUUACCUUAGGGAUAACAGCGUAAUCCUUUUUGAGAGUUCUAAUCGACAAAAGGGGUUGCGACCUCGAUGUUGGACUAAGGGUUAUUCUUGGGUGUAGAAGUUCAAGGUUUAGGUCUGUUCGACCUUUGAAUCCUUACAUGAUCUGAGUUCAGACCGGCGUAAGCCAGGUUGGUUUCUAUCCUCAAUUAGAAAUAAUAUUUUAGUACGAAAGGACCAAAUAUUAGGGAUAUUCUCUAUAAAUUGAAUAUCAGUA
rnacentral:rRNA from 1 species